UAUGUUUACUGCAGCAUUUACUGUCCCUGGUGGUAAUUUUGAAGAAACAGGCUAUCCAAUAUUUUCACACGAAAAAUCGUUUAUGAUUUUUAUAAUAUCCGAUGCGAUUUCACUUUUCGCUUCCUCAACAUCAGUAUUGAUGUUCUUAGGAAUCCUUACGUCUCGGUAUGCAGAGGAUGACUUCCUCAAGUCCUUGCCCACAAAGUUAA
rnacentral:misc_RNA from 1 species